rnacentral:rRNA from 1 species
AUGACAUAUGCGAGCAUUGAGGAAAUAUAUGAUAUCUAUAAAUGUGAUGCCAUGAUGAUAACACUCAUGCGCUGGGAGCUAUAUAUUUUGAGAGCAACCAGGACAUACAAACGAAUUGGAGCAACUCUCAUUGAUAAUGCCAACCAGGUUGCAGCUGUAGUUGCUAUGGUCUGCAUAGUUAUCCUUCUAAAACUGAAAAAGUGUGGUUGUUUGUACACAUAUUUUUUAACUAUAUAUCUCCAUGUAUUUUUGAGAAAAUUAUAUCUCCAUGUGCCUAAAUGUAUUAUGGUUCCACAUGCGUGCUGUUCUAUUCUUGCUCCCACAGCUUGCAUCAAUAGACAAAUGCCAAUUAACUACACCAGCAUUCUUAUCGACAGACACUAUUCCCUGAGUUACUUGGGAUAA